CUGAAAGACUAAGAUGAGUAAUCCAAAUGAUUCCAAAAAUGGCUUUUUUCAUGAAUCUGUCUAAAAAUAUAUCACAGAGAAUCUCUUUUCCCUCCUCUCCACCCCUUUUUUUUCAAAGUAAGAUUCUUUUUGACCGAAGGAAGUCUACAUGAAAGAGAAUAUUUAGCAUAUUCAGAUAGAAAAACACUUUUCUACAGACUGAGCAACUUAGCCACUUUUUUUACAAGGACUCAGCGUUAUUUCCCACUGCUACUCACCUAUCUACGUAGGAGACUAUAAAACCAAUGGCAAUCUGUGAAUGAAUCAACACUAAUAUGCCUGAAAAUUCCAGGCCUCAUUAAUCCCCUGGUUAUGGUGGGCACCCUCCAUUCAGUCUAAACAAGAAGAAGCAGCUAAGCACCUGUAUGAAGUAAAAUUGCUGAAAACAGUAGAAGCCACCACCCAGGCAGUUAUCCUAUGAAGAAAAGCUGAAGCAUGAAAUAAUUUGUGGAGAACAAAGAGCUUACUCGUGAAAUUAUUAUAUAUUCAUUGGCUGAGACACCAACUGAUAGGAGCUACGUGUUUAAAAGUAAUCAGAAAGCUGGGGAAAAAAAAAAUAGGCAAUGUGGGUGGCCCAGGGAGAAAGGCAAGAGAAAAAAGCUUCUGUUGAACAGAGUACCCACUGGAAAAAAAAAAAAAAGGAAUUGGAUUUGUGAGCAAGGAAAUAACCUUCUGCUGUUUGUUCCUACUGCAUUCAGGGAAAUAGGAGUUUGUGUACAUUCUUUGCAAAUAUACAGGAUUUCAUCAGAGAAACAUCUGGCCAAAAUCAACAGUUUCUCCUACUAAAAGAAACAACAUGUCAAGAUCGUAACUGGUGGCUAAAUGUUUGGGCAGAACAGUUGAUUGAAAAUAGGAAGUAUUUUAUAAAGUUUACUUGUUUGCUGAGAAUAUAGGCUUUUUUCAAGCUUGAGAAGUUCAUUUCAUGUAUGUGACUGGCUCAGUGGGGCUCUGAGCACUGAGGCAUUGGGUAGUUAGAUUGUCUCUCCUUCACUAUAAUUGGCUGCAGCAUAAAUCUGGUGGCUGAGUGAUCUUAAUGAAUAUGCAGGUAAAUAACCAAAUUCAAUUAAGUUUGGUUCUCACAAUCCUUGCAGUGAUAGUUCCCACUUUUUAAAACUUUUAUUGUCAUAUGUGGUUAAGUAAGAUUAGAAGACCAUAAAUCUGGGCUGAGUUGAGCCUGAGGCUUGACUUGAAACACCUUGAGGUGUUUCUUCAUGGAGGCUGCUGAGCUGGUUUGGUCACUGUCCUCCCUUCUGAAUGCAUAUAAUUGCUUUAAAGACAUUUUUUUCUGUCAACAGAAGGUAGGUCAUUAAUGUUUUUUUGUUUGUUUGCUUUUAUUUUUUAAUUAAGCUGUAGUUUAAUGAUGUAGUCAGAGCUUUAAAAAACUUAUUUCUACUCUGACACUUCUGCCAACACAAGGCUUUUUCUUAAGUUGUAUGACAAUUUUCUGACCAUGG